UGUCUCCGUGUGUUUAUGUUCUAAGCUCCUUGAGGUGAGGGGCCGUGUUUUCUGCUCUACUGAGGGUGAAGAAGUGCCUUAAUGCAAUACUUGGAGUGUACACAGCACUCAUACACAACAAGCUUUCAAAGCCCAGGUAGAAAAUGUGCUCUGUAGUUACACCUUAAGGUGAAAAAAGGAGAUGAAUUUUUUCAAGCAAGUGUGAAAAAGCCAGAAAAGCUGCUGAAAAACAACUCCUGGAGGAACAACAGGUAUAUAUAAAUGAGACCUCUGGAAAAUGGUGUCUGCGUGAAAGCUGAAGGACCUCUUGUACACCUGAGAAUGCUGAAGAGAAAAGCCAGGUUCAUGGACAAAAGUCACCAGAGCUGAAUAAAAGCUGGUCCAAGUUUCUAAUGGA